UACAGAGGUCUCAAGCGUUGUUCGGAUUCAUUGGGCGUAAAGGGCGCGUAGGCGGCCUGAUCAAGUCGGAUGUGAAAUCCCUCGGCUCAACCGAGGAACUGCACCCGAUACUGGUUGGCUAGAGUCCGGGAGGGGGUAGCGGAAUUCCCAGUGUAGCGGUGAAAUGCGUAGAUAUUGGGAAGAACACCGGUGGCGAAGGCGGCUACCUGGACCGGUACUGACGCUGAGGCGCGAAAGCCAGGGGAGCGAAUGGG
rnacentral:rRNA from 1 species